ACUCAAAGGAAUAGACGGGGACCCGCACAAGCGGUGGAUGAUGUGGAUUAAUUCGAUGCAACGCGAAAAACCUUACCUACCCUUGACAUGGCUGGAAUCCUUGAGAGAUCAGGGAGUGCCCGAAAGGGAACCAGUACACAGGUGCUGCAUGGCUGUCGUCAGCUCGUGUCGUGAGAUGUUGGGUUAAGUCCCGCAACGAGCGCAACCCUUGUCAUUAGUUGCUACGAAAGGGCACUCUAAUGAGACUGCCGGUGACAAACCGGAGGAAGGUGGGGAUGACGUCAAGUCCUCAUGGCCCUUAUGGGUAGGGCUUCACACGUCAUACAAUGGUACAUACAGAGCGCCGCCAACCCGCGAGGGGGAGCUAAUCGCAGAAAGUGUAUCGUAGUCCGGAUUGUAGUCUGCAACUCGACUGCAUGAAGUUGGAAUCGCUAGUAAUCGCGGAUCAGCAUGUCGCGGUGAAUACGUUCCCGGGUCUUGCACACACCGCCCGU
rnacentral:rRNA from 1 species